rnacentral:rRNA from 1 species
GACGAACGCUGGCGGCGUGCUUAACACAUGCAAGUCGAACGGUAAGGUCCUUCGGGGUACACGAGUGGCGAACGGGUGAGUAACACGUGGGUGCUCUGCCCUGCACUUCGGGAUAAGCCUGGGAAACUGGGUCUAAUACCGGAUAGGACCCUGGGAUGCAUGUCCUGGGGUGGAAAGCUGUUGCGGUGUGGGAUGGGCCCGCGGCCGAUCAGCUUGGUGGUGGGGUGAUGGCCUACCAAGGCGACGACGGGUAGGCGGCCUGAGGGGGUGACCGGCCACACUGGGACUGAGAUACGGCCCAGACUCCUACGGGAGGCAGCAGUGGGGAAUAUUGCACAAUGGGCGCAAGCCUGAUGCAGCGACGCCGCGUGAGGGAUGACGGCCUUCGGGUUGUAAACCUCUUUCAGCACCGACGAAGCGCAAGUGACGGUAGGUGCAGAAGGAGGACCGGCCAACUACGUGCCAGCAGCCGCGGUAA